AGUGCCCCGCCCAGCAUACAGUAUAAAUACAGUGCUCAGCCUUGCCAUCUCCCACAGAGCGUGCCAGACCAGAAACAACUCCGCUCCAGAGAGAGUAAAGACGCAAAGAUGAAGGUGUCAUAUGUGGCCGCUUUCCUCAUCGGGCUCCUCUCCCUGGAGAGCACCAGAGCGGCUCCGUUGUUGUGGUCUGUGGGCUCUGGUAGCGUAAAGACCGGUGACGUGGGCCACGGCAGCUUUAACGACAACAGCAUAAACAACAAAUUCUUGCCAGUGAAAAACAACAAAUUCUGGUCAGUGGGCUCUGGUAGCGUAAAGACUGGUGACGUGGGCCACGGCAGCUUUAACGACAACAGCAAAAACAACCAAUUCUGGUCAGUGGACUCUGGUAGCGUAAACACCGGUAACGUGGGCCACGGCAGCUUUAACGACAACAGUAUAAACAACAAAUUCUUGCCAGUGAAAAACAACAAAUUCUGGUCAGUGGGCUCUGGUAGCGUAAACACUGGAGACGUGGGCCACGGCAGCUUUAACGACAACAGUAUAAACAACAAAAUCUUGCCAGUGAAAAAGAACAAAUUCUGGUCAGUGGGCUCUGGGAGCGUAAACACCGGUGACGUGGGCCACGGCAGCUUUAACGACAACAGCAAAAACAACAAAUUCUGGUCAGUGGACUCUGGUAGCGUAAACACCGGUGACGUAGGCCAUGGCAGCUUUAACGACAACAGCAAAAACAACAAAUUAUGCUUAGUGGGCUCCGGAAGCAAAAAGACCGGCAAAGUGGUCGACAGCAGCUUUGACAACAAAAGCGUAAGUAGUAGAGAUUAUCUCUCCAUGCUAUGUAGCUUCACACACAUCUGUGAACAGACCGUGUUUCAGCUAGUUUGAUGUCUCGUAACCUUUGCCUGCGAGGAACACUGGCUGCAUUUGCCCAUGUUGUAAAUGCAGCAUGGAGAGUCCUCCCACUCCACAGGCUCCUCCCCACAGCUCCCAUUGAACGGUUUCCAGACAAUGGGAGUGCCGAUCUGUUGCUUAUAGUGGGGGCAUAGCUUCAUGGCCCCUCUUCCUAGAAGCUGGACCUGCUGCUGGCUGCUUCCGGGGCGCAACGCGGUGUCAGAAC
rnacentral:lncRNA from 1 species